rnacentral:rRNA from 1 species
GCUUGUCUCAAAGAUUAAGCCAUGCAUGUCUUAGUGUAAAUAACUCUUAUGAAACUGCGAAUGGCUCAUUAAAUCAGUUAUCAAAUACGUGAUGGUCGCCUACUACAUGGAUAACCGUAGUAAUUCUAGAGCUAAUACAUGCACAAAGGCCCACUCACGUGGGUUGUGAUUAUUAGAUUCAAACCGGCCUCGUUCUGGUGAUUCAUAAUAAUUGGUCGAACCGCAUGCCCUUGUGGUGGCGGUGAUUCAUCCUUAUUUCUGCCCUAUCAACUUUCGAUGGUAAGCGAUUUGCCUACCAUGGUUGUAACGGGUAACGGGGAAUCAGGGUUCGAUUCCGGAGAGGGAGCAUGAGAAAUGGCUACCACAUCUACGGAAGGCAGCAGG